GCCACGGUGGUCUAGUGUUCAGAACACUAGCCUUGUAAGCCUGGGGUCCCGGGUUCAAUUCCCGGUGGUGCUC
rfam:Zootermopsis nevadensis contig18020, whole genome shotgun sequence.